UGCGCAGGAGGGUUUGUAAGUCAGUGGUGAAAUGCUGCCGCUUAACGGUAGAAUUGCCAUUGAUACUGCAAAUCUUGAGUAUGGUUGAGGUAGGCGGAAUGUGUCGUGUAGCGGUGAAAUGCAUAGAUAUGACACAGAACGCCGAUUGCGAAGGCAGCUUACUAAGCCAUUACUGACGCUGAGGCACGAAAGCGUGGGGAGCGAACAGGAUUAGAUACCCUGGUAGUCC
rnacentral:rRNA from 1 species